UUAUCCUUCUAAUCCAUCAACCCCUUUUCUUCCUGUUUUCAGAUUUUGUUUAUCACUGACCCUAUUUUCAAAAGUUUCAAUCUUUUUUCAGUCCUCAUCUUGAUAUCUCAUCCAUCCACUAAACUACUAGUACCUUUUUAAUGUGAUUUCACUUCAAGAAUAGUAUCUUCUUUCUUGGAGUUUAACUAGAUCUUUGUCUAUUUGAGUCUUGAUGAAUAGUUUAGUGAACCCCAUCUGAAAGAAACAAUCAAGGUUGCUUGCAGAAAUAUGAAGAGGAUCAGGACCAAAAGUGAAACAUGAGACUACAUGGAAAAGAUUAGAAGGAGAUCAUCGCUGCAAUGAAAGCUAUAAGCAAUGAGUUAGUGCUAGUUUCUUGAAGGACCUUCCCUCAUUCACCAUUUAGCUAGAGACUCUUAUAUCUUCGUUACUGUUACUUUUCCGUUGAAUUGAAGAGCUCACUAGUAUGUGGAAUCCAACAAAAUAAGUUACAUCAAUUGUACAUAUGCAAUUGCAUUUUUGCUCGAUA